UACGAAGGUGGCUAGCGUUUUUCGGAAUCACUGGGCGUAAAGCGCGUGCAGGCGGCCCUGCAAGUCAGAAGUGAAAGCCUUGGGCUUAACCUAAGAAUUGCUUUUGAAACUGUGGGGCUAGAGUGCGGGAGAGGGUGGCAGAAUUCCAAGUGUAGAGGUGAAAUUCGUAGAUAUUUGGAGGAAUACCAGUGGCGAAGGCGGCCACCUGGAACGCAACUGACGCUCAUGCGCGAAAGCGUGGGGAUCAAACAGG
rnacentral:rRNA from 1 species